CACGCAGUGGAUGUCGCGCUAUCGGCCAUCCCGCGGUCGCGGUGAUGGAUAAGAUGAGCCCCCGCUGCCCUUCGAUCCCCUCCGAACCCUAUUCCCCUCGUUUGCCUCCCCCCACGCAUCUCCCUCCCGAUCCCGAGCCCACCUGAGCAAAGCCGCCGUCACGCCAUUGUCGUAGACAUCCUCUGAAGCCCUAUAGCGCCGCACACUGUUGUCCAGGAGCAGCACCAUCGACCUCUACAUCGACUACAUCACCGGAUUGGACGAGAACGCCAUUGCAAUCGACGCAUCGUCCACCUAUUCACCCACGGCCGCCGCCACCAUUGCCGCUCGAUCCCUCAUCUCCAGUACGUUCCCGGCCACCUCGAGCUCACCUUCGGCACCGUGAUCCAAGGCAUGGAGAACUCCAAGGAGUUUGCUAACAAGUUGUUCGGGAUAUGUCGAGGCAGAGGAACAUUGAGUCGGAUGAAGGCAUUAACAAGGAUCGGCUCAAAGAGGUCUAGACGGAGAUUACUGACCACAUCUUGGACUAAGCUAUGUUCAGUUUAAGUCAAUCUAACAUACUGAUGAAAAUUUUCCUUUGGGUGUCUCACAUUAACAAGUGGAACAUGAACAUUGAUGGGAUGCUCACAGAAGAUGAGGUCAAGAAGGUGGCUACGCAAAUGAUCCCAAAGAGAAGACUACCGUUGGGCCUUUUGAUCGACCACGCGAUUCAAAAAGCUCUUUAGUGCAGUUUGCAACAACAAAAAUCAGAGGAUUGGUCGUUUGUAAGGGCGGAUAUCUCAGAGGCGGCAGCCACCCGGAUUGGAAUUUAAUUUCAAUCAAUUUCCCUGUCUGAAGUUUCAUACUAGAUGAGUUGCAAGUGGUACUAUGUUCCUACGCUGCGUCGACCCGAGCAGUUGCGAGAGCGAAUGAAGCUGCGGUUGCACGGACAAGCUUGUGGAGGUGUCAGUAUGCACGCAUGCGUCCCUGAUUUGGAUCAUGCCUCUGGCCUGGUAGGAUUCUUGCUCUGCCCCGACCUCAAGGGCGUUCGUCUAUCUAUGUCAUGCUCGGGAAAUGCAGGUGUGGUUCUUCAGCUUUUCUUUGUCUUUUUCUUGGUAUGUAUAUCUCUCAAUCUCGUGAGCCGUGAUUUUCAUGCUGCCACGUAUGCCAUUGUGUCUUGUAUAAUGAUUCUUCUUAUUAUUUUUGACUCGCAUAAUUAUUCUUAUCGAGGCACUGCCGCUGCCUAAUUUGCUUAUAGAAAUAACAUGCUAAUUAGUACAGGGAGAGAGUACGAUUUUUUGACACAAUCUGCAGUACCCGUGAGCCUGCCCAUAGAUUGCCUGCUAUAUUACCAAGUGCGUUGAAGGAAAAGCUGCUGCCACUAUUGAUGACCACUCUAGGUGAUAUAAUUCAUGUUUGCUUUGUUGUUUCAGCAGCUUCCUGUAGCAUAUUGGUUCCAUCUUUUUUUUGCAUCAUGGUACAUUAUUCUCAUCUUGAUAUAUAUCAUUUGGUCAACUGAAGAUUUGAGUGCAGGGUAGAAUUCUUGGUUGAUUUUAGAAUUUCGUUGUUGAUUAGUUGGCCAACAGACUUCGAUGAAAUUCAAGGCGUCAUUUAGUGUACUAUAUGUCAUAUUUGUCUUAUCUCUCAAUCUUGUGAGCCGUGAUUUUCAAGCUGCCAUGUAUGCCAUUGUGUCUUGUAUAAUGAUUCUUCUUAUUAUUUUUGAAUGGAAUAAUUAUUCUUAUUGAGGCACUGCCGCUGCCUAAUUUGCUUACAGAAAUAACAUACUAAUUAAUACAGGGAGAGAGUACAAUUUUUUGACACAAUUUGCAGUACCUGUCAGCCUGCCCAUAGGUACUGUAGCUUCCAUUCUUGUUUUCUCUCAUUGAAAUUAUGGAUUUGGAAACUAAUCAUGGAGUGUCUAGAUUGCCUGCUAUAUUACCAAGUGCGCUGAAGGAAAAGUUGUUGCCACUGUUGAUGACCACUCUAAGUGAUAUAAUUCAUGGUUGCUUUGUUGUUUCAGUAACUUCCUGUAGCAUAUUGGUUCCAUCUUCUUUUUUUGCAUCAUGUUACAUUAUUCUCAUCUUGAUAUAUAUCAUUUGGUCAAUUGAAGAUUUGAGUGCAGGGUAGAAUUCUUGGUUGAUUUUAGAAUUACGUUGUUGAUUAGUUGGCCAACAGACUUUUAUGAAAUUCAAGGCGUCAUUUAGUGUACUAUAUGUCAUAUUUGUCUUAUUUCUAUACUCAUAAUAUUUCCGCAACAUCUGAACAAAUGAUGCUAAAUUGAUAUAAUCAUUUUGGAUUAGUGUUAUCUUCUCAAUGCUGAACAGCCAAAAUAUAUACAUAGUGAGCAGUCCGACGCACAUGCUCAUACGUCAUAUUUAUGUACUAUUUAACACGGCAAAAAUUGGUCAAACAUUUAAACAUUUCUACUGUUUAACACAGCCAAAAUAUAUACAUAAUUAUCAGUCCUCUGCUGCAUGUUAGAUCCAGCCUCCCUCCCUUGACACCAUUCUUCUUACUUAUUAUUAUUUAUUUAAAAAAUAUCUUUAGUUUUAUUUUCUAGCUACUUUAAUUCAUUUGUAUAUGGUUAGUUCCAUCGCACUACGAGGAUGAUCCAUGGCUGGUCACGGACGAUCACCUGCGAGGACGAUUCAUGGCCGGUUGGGGAUGGUCAGUUCCAUCACACUGCGAGGAGAUGAUUCAUGGCCGGUCGAGGAUGGUCACCUGCGCCCGAAGGCCAACCUUAAUACUGGACCUCGAGAGGAGCAUGUGGCCAACCAUGCCGGAGGACGCAGAGGAGUUGUUUGGGAAUGUUAUCAUCAGAGGACCCAAGAAGCAGCCCACCAUGGAUGCAUGGACCAACCACGGAAGUCUAUUCUUGCAAUCCAUCUAUGGCGAGGGUUCAUGACAUACAAGCCAAUAGAUUUGGGGGUCCACUUCCCGGUGAAACAAAUGUUCAUUGCAGACAAUACGAAGAUGAUGAUUGGUACAAUGCGGUGAAUAUAUUAGAAUUUUUAUUCUUCUCUCUCCAUGUCUAUGUUUGUGCUUGAUCAACUGUCCACGCAAUGAUUUUAGUUGUACAAAGUCCUAAGCUGGUCUCACUAGGUCGUACCCAGUGGCGGAGACAGGGGGACCAGCAGGGACCUGGCCCCCCCUAACACCAUGAUUUUGCAUGUAAUUUGCUAUGAACAGUGGCAAAAUUAGUACUAAUUUGCUGCUAAAAAUCUAUUUUUCAACACUUUGGCCCUCCCCAACCUGUUUUAGUAGCACUUGGCCUCCCUUAUAGAUAUGUUCUGGCUCUGCCACUGGUUCGUACUCA